AAGCAGAGGAGUGGUUAGCGGAAGUUAAAAGAUCAAAGCUCCCAGGGUUGUUGUGAUGUUUAUACAAAUAUUUCUUAAAUGUGAACUAUCUUAUUUUGUAAUGCCAUGUCAUUUUAGUUUGUUUCUGGUGGGACAACUUAGUGAGAUGCACAGGUACAUUACUUCCUGUUUUUGAUAAAACAAGGACAGAGAGGGAAGCCAUCAGGUUUUGAGCAGCAGCAGCAGCAAUCUGUUCGCAUCCUUAACACAGGACUGACAAAUCAAUGUCGAAGAUUGAGAAAAGGAAGAAGCUUAUCGACUACGGUGUCGCCACGGACUACAAAGGCGGACGUGCGCAAAUUUUCAGGACUUAUGCAAAUCCCAAAUACAGAUCAGCAGGUACCAGAAGUGAGCUCUGGUGAAUCUGAUCUAUGCUGGCCUCCGUGAUAAACUCAGGGGCCAAAAAGAGAGAACAUAAGAAGACAUAAAUCCAGGAAAGCAU